rnacentral:rRNA from 1 species
UGGGGAAUAUUGGACAAUGGGGGAAACCCUGAUCCAGCAAUGCCGCGUGAAUGAAGAAGGCCUUUGGGUCGUAAAGUUCUUUUACUCGUGAAGAUGAUGACGGUAACGAGAGAAAAAGCCCCGGCUAACUCUGUGCCAGCAGCCGCGGUAAUACAGAGGGGGCUAGCGUUGUUCGGAAUAACUGGGCGUAAAGGGUGCGUAGGUGGUUUUUUAAGUGAGAUGUUAAAUACCCAGGCUUAACCUGGGACAAGCGUCUCAAACUGGAAGACUAGAGUAUGGUAGAGGAAAGUGGAAUUCCUAGUGUAGAGGUGAAAUUCGUAGAUAUUAGGAGGAACACCAGAGGCGAAGGCGACUUUCUGGGCCAUUACUGACACUGAGGCACGAAAGCGUGGGGAGCAAACAGG